GUGCUCAGUUCAGCAGCACAUAUACUAAAAUUGGAAUGAUACAAAGAAGAUUAGCAUGGCUACUGUACAAUGAUGACACACAAAUUUGUAAAGCAUAUCAUAUAUUU